rnacentral:rRNA from 1 species
CCUACGGGCGGCAGCAGUGGGGAAUAUUGCACAAUGGGGGAAACCCUGAUGCAGCGACGCCGCGUGAGUGAAGAAGUAAUUCGUUACGUAAAGCUCUAUCAGCAGGGAAGAAAUACUGACCUUACGGUCAGCCGACGGUACCUGACUAAGAAGCCCCGGCUAACUACGUGCCAGCAGCCGCGGUAAUACGUAGGGGGCAAGCGUUAUCCGGAUUUACUGGGUGUAAAGGGUGCGUAGGUGGUAGGGCAAGUCAGAUGUGAAAGCCCGGGGCCCAACCCCGGUAUUGCAUUUGAAACUGUCCAGCUGGAGUGCAGGAGAGGUAAGCGGAAUUCCUAGUGUAGCGGUGAAAUGCGUAGAUAUUAGGAGGAACACCAGUGGCGAAGGCGGCUUACUGGACUGUAACUGACACUGAGGCACGAAAGCGUGGGGAGCAAACAGGAUUAGAUACCCCUGUAGUC